rnacentral:rRNA from 1 species
GACGAACGCUGGCGGCGCGCCUAACACAUGCAAGUCGAACGAGAGAUGAGGAGCUUGCUCUUCAGAUCGAGUGGCGAACGGGUGAGUAACGCGUGAGGAACCUGCCUCAAAGAGGGGGACAACAGUUGGAAACGACUGCUAAUACCGCAUAAGCCCACGGCUCGGCAUCGAGCAGAGGGAAAAGGAGCAAUCCGCUUUGAGAUGGCCUCGCGUCCGAUUAGCUAGUUGGUGAGGUAACGGCCCACCAAGGCGACGAUCGGUAGCCGGACUGAGAGGUUGAAACGGCCACACUGGAACUGAGACACGGUCCAGACUCCUACGGGAGCAGCAGUGGGGAAUAUUGGUCAAUGGACGAGAGUCUGAUGCAGCGACGCCGCGUGAGCGAAGAAGUAUUUCGGUAUGUAAAGCUCUAUCAGCAGGGAAGAAAAAAGUGACGGUACCUGACUAAGAAGCCCGGCUAACUACGUGCCAGCAG